rnacentral:lncRNA from 1 species
CUAUCAGUCAGUUGAAGGCUUCCAGAGCAAACAGAUUUCCUGGAGUAGGCCUUGUGUCAUAAGCUGGAAGACAGAAGUCUGGCUAGAGUGUCGAGACCACCCACUCUUCUCCAGAUAUCAUACUUGUCAGUCAUUUUCUCCCUCUCCCUCCGUCCUAUCAGCCCCGUUUCUCAGGAGAACCCUGACUGGUUCUUUCUUUACACAAGAAAGGGUGAAGGCUCAGCGAAAGGGACAAUGCCUUUCUGGAGUCAACUGCACCUGGGAGCAGCAGGCAGGAAGUGUCAUUUGUUGGCUACAGGUUGCCCUCUUCAACCUACCAGUGCUUACCUGUCCUUGGACCACACAUUUCGUCAUGUGUGACCUGUCUUAGGUUGCCCGGAAGCAAGGGAUAUUUUACCAGAGUGACUACUGCAGCUGGAUGAGAGCAGGGCUCUCUUUUCAGAUCUUUGUUUAGUGUGUU